ACUGAAUCUAGCCCAAAAAACCCAAUAAAUAAAACUACCACACAACCAAUAAAUCAAAACAUUUAAUUACCUGAUAAAGUAUAGGAGAUAGAAAUAUUAUUUGGAGCUAUAGAGAAAGUACCGCAAGGGAAUGAUGAAAGAUAAUCUAAAGUAUUAAAUAGCAAAGAUUAACCCUUAUACCUUUUGCAUAAUGAGCUAGUCAGCAUAACUUAACAAAGAGAACUUAAGCUAAGUCCCCCGAAACCAGACGAGCUACCUAUAAACAAUUUAUAAGAAUAAACUCAUCUAUGUAGCAAAAUAGUGAGAAGAUUUAUAGGUAGAGGUGAAAAGCCUAACGAGCCUGGUGAUAGCUGGUUGCCCAGAACAGAAUUUUAGUUCAACUUUAAAUUUACCAGAAAAACAUACAAAAAUUUUAAUGUAAAUUUAAAAUAUAGUCUAAAAGGGUACAGCUUUUUAGACAAAGGAUACAGCCUUACCUAGAGAGUAAAAUACAUAACCAAACCAUAGUAGGCCUAAGAGCAGCCAUCAAUUAAGAAAGCGUUCAAGCUCGACAACUAUAAUAUCAUUAAUACCAAAAACCCUUAUCAACUCCUAGUAUGCUACUGGGCUAGUCUAUACAAACAUAGAAGUAAUAAUGCUAGUAUGAGUAACAAGAAACACUUCUCCCUGCAUAAGCCUAUAACAGAAACGGAUAUCCGCUGAUAGUUAACAACAAGAUAAACAUAAAUAACUAUAAAUAACUCUAUCAAAUUAAUUGUUAGCCCAACACAGGAAUGCAAUUAAAGGAAAGAUUAAAAGAAGUAAAAGGAACUCGGCAAACAUAAACCCCGCCUGUUUACCAAAAACAUCACCUCCAGCAUUACUAGUAUUGGAGGCACUGCCUGCCCAGUGACAUAAGUUUAAACGGCCGCGGUAUCCUGACCGUGCAAAGGUAGCAUAAUCAUUUGUUCUCUAAAUAAGGACUUGUAUGAAUGGCCACACGAGGGUUUAACUGUCUCUUACUUCCAAUCAGUGAAAUUGACCUCCCCGUGAAGAGGCGGGGAUAAACUAAUAAGACGAGAAGACCCUAUGGAGCUUUAAUUAAUUAAUUCAUAAUAUUAUCACAUAUUUCCCAAUAGGCAUAACCAAAACUAUUAAUGAAUUGAUAAUUUAGGUUGGGGUGACCUCGGAGCAUAAAAUAACCUCCGAGAAAAAAAUUAAGACCUACUAGUCAAAAUACAUUUUCAUUUAUUGAUCCAAAAAUAAUUUGAUCAACGGAACAAGUUACCCUAGGGAUAACAGCGCAAUCCUAUUUAAGAGUCCAUAUCGACAAUAGGGUUUACGACCUCGAUGUUGGAUCAGGACAUCCUAAUGGUGCAGCAGCUAUUAAAGGUUCGUUUGUUCAACGAUUAAAGUCCUACGUGAUCUGAGUUCAGACCGGAGCAAUCCAGGUCGGUUUCUAUCUAUUAUAUAAUUUUUCCCAGUACGAAAGGACAAGAAAAAUAAGGCCAACUUAAACAAAAGCGCCUUAAGAUUAACGGAUGAAAUAAUCUUAAUCCGGCUAAUCUACUUCCAACCCUGCCCUAGAGACAGGGUUU
rnacentral:rRNA from 1 species